UCAAUAAGUAAAGAACCUUAAGGCCUAGGAACUUCAAACUUGGUAUGGUGAUUGGUCAUGAUCAGUAGAUGACCCCUAUUGAUUUUGGGGUCAAGGGGUCAAAGGUCAAGGUCACAUUGACCUCUUGGGUAAAAACGGUUUCCGAUCAAUAACAAAAGAACCCUUAGGCCUAGGAACUUCAAACUUGGUAUGGUGAUUGGUUAUGACCAGCAGAUGACCCCUAUUGAUUUUGGGGUUAAGGGGUCAAAGGUCAAGGUCACAUUGACCUUGUAGGUAAAAACGGUUUCCGAUCAAUAACGAAAGAACCCUUAGGCCUAGGGACUUGAUAUGGUGAUUGGUCAUGAUCAGUAGAUGACCCCUAUUGAUUUUGGGUCAAGGGGUCAAAGGUCAAGGUCACAUUGACCUCUUAGGUAAAAACAGUUUCCGAUCAAUAACUAAAGAACCCUUAGGCCUAGGAACUUCAAACUUGGUAUGGUGAUUGGUCAUGACCAGCAGAUGACCCCUAUUGAUUUUGGGGUUAAGGGGUCAAAGGGCAAGGUCACAUUGACCUUGUAGGUAAAAAUGCUUUCCGAUCAAUAACUUAAGAACCCUUAGGCCUAGGAACUUCAAACUUGGUAUGGUGUUUGGUCAUGACCAGCAGAUGACCUAUUGAUUUUGGGGUCAAGGGGUCAAAGGUCAAGGUAACAUUGACCUUGUAGGUAAAAACGGUUUCCUAUCAAUUAACUAAAAACGCUUAGGCCUAGGAACUUCAAACUUUGUAUGAUGAUUGGUGGUGACCAGCAGAUGACCCCUAUUGAGUUUUGGGUCAAGGGGUCAAAGGUCAAGGUCACAUUGACCUUGUAAGUAAAAACGGUUUCUGAUCAAUAACUAAAGAACGCUUCGGCCUAGGAACUUCAAAAUUGGCAUGGUGAUGGUCAUGACCAGCAGAUGACCUCUAUUGAUUUUGGGGUCAAAGGUCAAGGUCACAUUGACCUUGUAUGUUAAAACGGUUUCGGAUCAAUAAUAAAAGAACCCUUAGGCCUAGGAACUUCAAACUUGGCAUGGUGAUUAGUCAUGACCAGCAAAUGACCCCUAUUGAUUUUGGGGUCAAGGGGUCAAAGGUCAAGGUCACAUUGACCUUGUAGGUAAAAACGGUUUCUGAUCAAU